rnacentral:tRNA from 1 species
GCAUGUAGCUCAGUCAGUAGAGUGCUUGCCUCACAUGCACAAGGUCCUUGGUUCAAUCCCCAGCACCGCA